rnacentral:rRNA from 1 species
CCUACGGGGGGCAGCAGUAGGGAAUUUUGCGCAAUGGGCGAAAGCCUGACGCAGCAACGCCGCGUGAUCGAGACGCCCUUCGGGGUGUAAAGAUCUGUCAGUGGGGACGAAACUUGACGGUACCCACAGAGGAAGCACCGGCUAACUCCGUGCCAGCAGCCGGGGGAAUACGGGGGGUGCAAGCGUUGUCCGGAAUGAUUGGGCGUAAAGCGUUCGUAGGCGGGACGUAAAGUCUGGUGUUAAAGGCUGAGGCUCAACUUCUGUACGGCACUGGAUACUUGCGAGCUAGAAUGCGGUAGAGGUAAGGGGAAUUCGUGGUGUAGCGGUGAAAUGCUUAGAUAUCAGGAGGAACAUCGGUGGCGUAAGCGCUUUACUGGGCCGUAAUUGACGCUGAGGAACGAAAGCCAGGGUAGCAAAUGGGAUUAGAUACCCUGGUAGUC